UACGUAGGGACCAAGCGUUGUUCGGAUUUACUGGGCGUAAAGAGCGCGCAGGCGGUCGUUCAAGUCGCGUGUGAAAGCCCCCGGCUCAACUGGGGAGGGUCACGCGAUACUGAUCGACUCGAAGGCAGGAGAGGGUAGUGGAAUUCCCGGUGUAGUGGUGAAAUGCGUAGAUAUCGGGAGGAACACCAGUGGCGAAGGCGACUUCCUGGCCUGUUCUUGACGCUGAGGCGCGAAAGCUAGGGUAGCAAACGGGU
rnacentral:rRNA from 1 species